AGGGCAUGCCCCCAGUGACCCACCUCCUCCUGCCAUGCCCCACCAGCCUACAGUUACUAGUCCAUUCACACUAGGAUGGAGCUGAGUACAGCACUCAUAAUCCAAUCAUUUCACCUCCUAACAUUCCUGCAUUAACACAGGAGAUUUGGGGGGACAGCUCAUAUCCAAACCACAAUGGGGGAGGAAGACCACAGAGGUGAAAUGCCAUUCUCAUCACAUAGUAUCAAGGACACAGGUUACCAUCACAGCUCAUCACUGAUAAUGAUAACCUGGUGAGGGGAUGCUGGCCAGGUUUCCCCACUGUGGUUACAUUCCUCUCAAUGCUUGUACAUAGUACACUUUGGAACCGAGUCACCAAGCACAAUCAACACACAAAGGACAGGGAAAAAAGCUCUAAUCCUUUGAAGGUGGAGAGUCUACAUAUUAUUUGAAAAUUUUUUAUAUAGAUUUGUUUAUUCUCAGUUUUUAUUCACUUAUUACUCAAUGAUUUAUUGAUAUGAAUAUGGACUCAUGGGUAUUUAUUAUGUUCUGUGGAUUAUGACCCAACACUCA
rnacentral:lncRNA from 1 species